rnacentral:rRNA from 1 species
UUGCACUGGUGAAGUCGAGUGGCGAACGGGUGAGUAACACGUGAGAAACCUACCCUGGAGUGGGGAAUAACUCGAAGAAAUUCGAGCUAAUACCGCAUACCUUCUUACCGCCGAAUGGUGGUUUGAAGAAAGAUUUAUCGCUCUGGGAGGGUCUCGCGGCCUAUCAGCUAGUUGGUGAGGUAACGGCUCACCAAGGCAUCGACGGGUAGCUGGUCUGAGAGGACGAUCAGCCACACUGGAACUGAUACAUGGUCCAGACUCCUACGGGAGGCAGCAGUAGGGAAUCUUGCGCUAUGGGCGAAAGCCUGACGCAGCAAUGCCGCGUGCGGGACGAAGGCCCUAGGGUCGUAAACCGCUUUCAGUAGGGACGAAAAUGACGGUACCUGCAGAAGAAGCUCCGGCCAACUACGUGCCAGCAGCCGCGGUGAUACGUAGGGAGCAAGCGUUGUC